rnacentral:tRNA from 1 species
GGCCCCAUCGUCUAGCGGUUAGGACAUCGCCCUCUCACGGCGGUAACGUGGGUUCGAUUCCCACUGGGGUCG